rnacentral:tRNA from 1 species
GGACUGUAUCUCAAAGGACUAGAGCACGUGGCUACGAACCACGAUGUCAGGGGUUCGAAUCCCCCUCGCCCA